GGUUGCGUGGCCCAGUGGUUAAGGCAUCUGCUUUACAAUGAUCUAUAGAUCCCAGUAUCGCAGAGGAUCGCAGGUUCGAUCCCUGCCGCGAUCA